rnacentral:rRNA from 1 species
AGGGUGUAAACGCUGCAGACUUGGUGUUGGAGGCCCUUUGGGGGCAUUCAGUGCCGGAGAGAAGUUGUUAAGUCUGCUACUUGGGGAGUACGUCCGCAAGGAUGAAACUUAAAGGAAUUGGCGGGGGAGCACCGCAACGGGAGGAGCGUGCGGUUUAAUUGGAUUCAACACCGUAAACUCACCAGGGAAGACUGUUACAUGAAGUCCGAGAUGAAGACUCUGCUAGAUUUUCAGAGAGGUGGUGCAUGGCGUCAGUGACU